GACGAACGCUGGCGGCGUGCUUAACACAUGCAAGUCGAACGGAAAGGCCCCUUUGGGGGUACUCGAGUGGCGAACGGGUGAGUAACACGUGAGUAACCUGCCCUUGACUUCGGGAUAACUUCCGGCAACUGGGGCUAAUACCGGAUAGGAAUCCUUGCUGCAUGGAGGGGGGUGGAAGGCUUCGGCGGUUUGGGAUGGACUCGCGGCUUAUCAGCUUGUUGGUGGGGUAGUGGCUUACCAAGGCUUUGACGGGUAGCCGGCCUGGGAGGGCGACCGGCCACAUUGGGAAUGGGAUACGGGCCAGACUCCUACGGGAGGCAGCAGUGGGGAAUAUUGCACAAUGGGCGGAAGCCUGAUGCAGCAACGCCGCGUGCGGGAUGACGGCCUUCGGGUUGUAAACCGCUUUCAGCAGGGGCGAAGCUUGUGGUGACGGUACCGGCAGAAGAAGCACCGGCUAACUACGUG
rnacentral:rRNA from 1 species